rnacentral:rRNA from 1 species
GAUCAUUAUCGUGGGGGUCCUCGGGCCCUUUGCGUGAUGCAACCCUUGCCUUUUUGUUAGCAUCUAUCCGUUUCCUCGGCAGCCUCGCCUGCCAACGAGGACCUUCAGAAAACCCUUUUGUAAUCUCGGUACGAAACUCAGAAAAUGCACAAACGUUUAAAACUUUCAACAAUGGAUCUCUUGGCUCUGGCAUCGAUGAAGAACGCAGCGAAAUGCGAUAAGUAGUGUGAAUUGCAGAAUUCAGUGAAUCAUCGAAUCUUUGAACGCACAUUGCGCCCUUUGGUAUUCCUUAGGGCAUGCCUGUUCGAGCGUCAUUUCAAACCCUCAAGCUCAGCUUGGUGAUGGGCAGUUAGUCUUCCCGCAGCUUAGUUGUUGUGGCGGACUUUGCCUUAAAUUUACGGAGGGGCAAGCAUACCUCCCCCGGCUCAAGACGCAGCAGAUUUGCGUCGCUUGUCCGGGCAGGGAUGGUUACUUUCCCGUCAAGCUAAUAGAACUCAAGUUUGACCUCGGAUCAGGUAGGGAUACCCGCUGAACUUAAGCAUAUCAAUAAGCGGAGGAAAAGAAACCAACAGGGAUUGCCCUAGUAACGGCGAGUGAAGCGGCAACAGCUCAAAUUUGAAAUCUGGCCCUCUCGGGGGCCCGAGUUGUAAUUUGCAGAGGGUGCUUUGGCGUCGGCUGUGGUCUAAGUUCCUUGGAACAGGACGUCGCAGAGGGUGAGAAUCCCGUAUGUGGCCGCCAGCCUUCGCCGUGUAAAGCCCCUUCGACGAGUCGAGUUGUUUGGGAAUGCAGCUCUAAAUGGGAGGUAAAUUUCUUCUAAAGCUAAAUAUCUGCCAGAGACCGAUAGCGCACAAGUAGAGUGAUCGAAAGAUGAAAAGCACUUUGGAAAGAGAGUCAAAAAGCACGUGAAAUUGUUGAAAGGGAAGCGCUUGCAGUUAGACAUGCCUUUAGUUGCUCAGCCGGGCUCUUUGGCCCGGUGCACUCUUCUAUCGGCAGGCCAGCAUCAGUCUGGGCGGUCGGAUAAAGGCCUAUUAAACGUGACUCCCCUCGGGGAG